UGGUACUAUCGAAAAGUGUUUUCAUUUAAUAAGUCAUUCUUGUUAUUUCUCAUGUGCUAUAUAAUAGUUGAAGGCUAAUUAGCAGUAUGACUCCAUAGUGAUUCUGCCAGUCUCCUUCAGACAGUU